GAGUUUUAAAGAUGGAUCGGGAGAAGGAAAAGUUUGGAUGUACGUUGGAGGUGGCAAACAGAGGCGGCCGGGGAGGUAGGGAAUACAGGUGGGGGAGGUGGAUCGAUGGAGAGAGAGAGAGAGAGAGAGAGUUGAGCAAAAGUUGCUGCAAAGAGAGAAAGAAAAGAAAAUAAAAUAAAGAGAAAAUCUGGUGCGCUGUUAAG
rnacentral:lncRNA from 1 species